AUGAACGCUGGCGGCGUGCCUAAUACAUGCAAGUCGAGCGAACAGACGAGGAGCUUGCUCCUCUGACGUUAGCGGCGGACGGGUGAGUAACACGUGGAUAACCUACCUAUAAGACUGGGAUAACUUCGGGAAACCGGAGCUAAUACCGGAUAAUAUAUUGAACCGCAUGGUUCAAUAGUGAAAGACGGUUUUGCUGUCACUUAUAGAUGGAUCCGCGCCGCAUUAGCUAGUUGGUAAGGUAACGGCUUACCAAGGCAACGAUGCGUAGCCGACCUGAGAGGGUGAUCGGCCACACUGGAACUGAGACACGGUCCAGACUCCUACGGGAGGCAGCAGUAGGGAAUCUUCCGCAAUGGGCGAAAGCUUGACGGAGCAGCGCCGCGUGAGUGAUGAAGGUCUUCGGAUCGUAAAACUCUGUUAUUAGGGAAGAACAAAUGUGUAAGUAACUAUGCACGUCUUGACGGUACCUAAUCAGAAAGCCACGGCUAACUACGUG
rnacentral:rRNA from 1 species